AUUGAACGCUGGCGGCAUGCCUUACACAUGCAAGUCGAACGGUAACGCGGGGCAACCUGGCGACGAGUGGCGAACGGGUGAGUAAAGCAUCGGAACGUGCCCAGUAGUGGGGGAUAGCCCGGCGAAAGCCGGAUUAAUACCGCAUACGACCUAUGGGUGAAAGCGGGGGACUCGCAAGAGCCUCGCGCUAUUGGAGCGGCCGAUGUCAGAUUAGGUAGUUGGUGGGGUAAAGGCCUACCAAGCCGACGAUCUGUAGCUGGUCUGAGAGGA
rnacentral:rRNA from 1 species